AAAUGCGAUAAGUAGUGUGAAUUGCAGAAUUCAGUGAAUCAUCGAAUCUUUGAACGCACAUUGCGCCCCUUGGUAUUCCAUGGGGCAUGCCUGUUCGAGCGUCAUCUACACCCUCAAGCUCUGCUUGGUGUUGGGCGUCUUUGUCCCGCCUCCGCGCGCGGACUCGCCCCAAAUUCAUUGGCAGCGGUCCUUGCCUCCUCUCGCGCAGCACAUUGCGCUUCUCGAGGUGUUGCGACCCGCGUCCAGAAAGCAAUCGUUACCGUCUUUGACCUCGGAUCAGGUAGGGAUACCCGCUGAACUUAAGC
rnacentral:misc_RNA from 1 species